rnacentral:rRNA from 1 species
AUUGAACGCUGGCGGCAGGCCUAACACAUGCAAGUCGAGCGGAUGAAGGGAGCUUGCUCCUGGACUCAGCGGCGGACGGGUGAGUAAUGCCUAGGAAUCUGCCUGGUAGUGGGGGAUAACGUCCGGAAACGGGCGCUAAUACCGCAUACGUCCUGAGGGAGAAAGUGGGGGAUCUUCGGACCUCACGCUAUCAGAUGAGCCUAGGUCGGAUUAGCUAGUUGGUGGGGUAAAGGCCUACCAAGGCGACGAUCCGUAACUGGUCUGAGAGGAUGAUCAGUCACACUGGAACUGAGACACGGUCCAGACUCCUACGGGAGGCAGCAGUGGGGAAUAUUGGACAAUGGGCGAAAGCCUGAUCCAGCCAUGCCGCGUGUGUGAAGAAGGUCUUCGGAUUGUAAAGCACUUUAAGUUGGGAGGAAGGGCAGUAAGUUAAUACCUUGCUGUUUUGACGUUACCAACAGAAUAAGCACCGCCUAACUUCGUG